GACGAACGCUGGCGGCGUGCUUAAUACAUGCAAGUUGAGCGAAGCAUAGGCAUCAAAUCUUCGGAUGCGAUGCUUAUGACUUAGCGGCGAACGGGUGAGUAACGCGUGGGUAACCUGCCCUUCAGACUGGGAUAACAGCUCGAAAGGGCUGCUAAUACCGGAUGAGAUUACUAUGUUGCAUGGCAUGGUAAUAAAAGUGAUUAGCGCUGAAGGAUGGACCCGCGUCCCAUUAGCUAGUUGGUGAGGUAACGGCUCACCAAGGCGACGAUGGGUAGCCGGCCUGAGAGGGUGUACGGCCACACUGGGACUGAGACACGGCCCAGACUCCUACGGGAGGCAGCAGUAGGGAAUCUUGCGCAAUGGGGGGAACCCUGACGCAGCAACGCCGCGUGAGCGAUGAAGGCCUUCGGGUCGUAAAGCUCUGUCCUAUGGGAAGAUAGAGACGGUACCAUAGGAGGAAGCCCCGGCUAACUACGUG
rnacentral:rRNA from 1 species